rnacentral:lncRNA from 1 species
UUUUUUUUUUUUUUUUUGUCUUUUUGCUAUUUCUUGGGCCGCUCCCACGGCAUAUGGAGGUUCCCAGGCUAGGGGUCUAAUCAGAGCCGUAGCCACCAGCCUACACCAGAGCCACAGCAACGCAGGAUCCGAGCCGCGUCUGCAACCUACACCACAGCUCACGGCAACGCCGGAUUGUUAACCCACUGAGCAAGGGCAGGGACCGAACCCGCAACCUCAUGGUUCCUAGUCGGAUUCGUUAACCACUGCGCCACGACGGGAACUCCAGAUAUAGAAUCUUAACAGAGAUUUUUGGCUUGUAUAUUUUGCAGGCAUCAUUUGAAUUAGCACAUCAUAUAUUAAUGUUCAAUAUGGUAGUGUGCAUUAUGAAUAUUAGAAUGUUAGAAUACGAAUAUUAGAUCCUUGUUGUGUAUGGGGGCAAUUUAAUUAAUUCAUUAAUUAAUGGAUAGACUAGAAUUUAUUACAAAACACAUACACUUGAUGCUUUCAAAGUAGUAAUUGCUCUAGCUCUACUUCGCCAGAAAUUGUUGAAAAAGCAUCACAUGAUGGCAAUAAAAGAACACUAGAUUAACAAAUCUGAAAGGGACAUCACAUCUCUUGUGAAAAUGGAUUGGUGAACCCAUUGUCUGGAUGUGCUCAUAGGAAAAAAAACAUGGUAGAGGAAAUGUCUAACAGCUAACCAUCUUAGCAGUUUUGUGACUUCCAGGAGAAUGACUGUACUUCCACAGCUGGGAAUUGAACACAUAUAAGAAAUCUUCAUAAAAAUAACUAGAAGUUUUGAUUCUGGGUAAGACACAGGCAUAUCCACCUUGUCUCUUCCAUUAAAUGCAGCUAUAAAACCUAGACAGAAUGCUUGCAACAACUUUUUGAGAAUUCUGAAUACUAAAUAGCAGCAGCCCCAGAUGGCUUCAUCAGUAAAUUCUCUUGAACAUUCAAAGAAGAAAUAAUACUAAUAUAUUCAAUCUAUUCCAGAAAAUAGAAAUGGAAGGAAUAUUCUCUGUCUCAUUUUUUGAGUCCAGCAUUAACAUUAUAGCAAAAUCAUACACAGACAGUUCAAGAAACUAAGUCCAAUAUCCCCAAUAUCCCUCAUCAACACAGAAGAGAAAAUCCACAGUAUAAUAUGAAAUAGAAUUAGAGAUACAUAGAAAGAAUAACACCACAACCAGAUAAGUCUGUCGUAGGAAUGCAAGGUUGGUUCAAUAUUUGAAAAUCAAUCAUUUUAACCACCAGGAGUUCUCAUUGUAGCUCAGCAGGUUAAGAACCCAACUAAUAUCCAUGAGGAUGCAGGUUCAAUCCCUGGUCUCACUCAGUGGGUUAAGGAUCUGGUGUUGCUGUGAGCUGUGGUAGGUUGCAGAUGUUGCUCAGAUCCUGUGUUGCUGUGGCUGUGGUAUAGGCUGGCAGGUGGACCUGUGUUUCAACCCCUAGCCCAGGAACUUCCACAUGCUGCUGGUUUGGCCCUUAAAAGCCAAAAAAAAAAAAAGGCAAGAAAGCAAGCAAGAAAGAAACGUAAACACUAUAUUAAACCUAAUGUGUGAGGUAACUGAAGAACUAUAAAGCACCUAAUAAAAUUCUCUGUUCAGCAAACUAGGGAUAGUAGGUGACUUCUUAAAUUAGAAAGAGCAUCUACACAAUAUCUACAACUAAGGUCAUACUUAAUGGUAAACAACUUUGUUUCUCCUAAGCUCUGAUACAAGGCAAAAAUGUCCGCUCUUACUACUUAUAUUUUAUAGCAUAUUGGAAGACUUAGCUGAUGCAAUAAUACAAUAAAAUGAAAGAAAAGACAUAAAAAUUGCAAAGGAAAAUUUAAAAUUUUCCCAUUUUUAGUCAGUAUGACUGUCUUCAUAAAAAUAUUAAGAGAUCAUGGAGUUCCCGUCGUGGCGCAGUGGUUAACGAAUCCGACUAGGAACCAUGAGCAAUGACAGGAACUCCUUUUCUUUUCUUUCUUUCUUUCUUUCUUUCUUUUUUAAGUGGCUGCACCUGUAGCAUGCGGAACUUCCUGGGACAGGGUCUGAAUCCAAGCCAUAGCUGCAACCUAUGUCAUAGCUGGGGCAAUGCUGCAUCCUUUAACCCACUGAGCUGGGCCAGGAAAGGAAAUUGCACCUCCAUAGUGAUCUGACCCAUUGCAGCUGGAUUCUUAACCCACUCCACCACAGCAGGAACUCCUAAAUCUUAAAAUCAUUAAUGAAACAGCAGACACAAAUAAGCAAGAUUCUAAGGUGAGACAGUAAUUACUAAGUGCUUAUUCUACUGAACUAAUUACUUAAAAUAAUAAACUCAUUUUAAAUAAUAAUGAAAUUCGAGAUCAAGUGUGAACACUGAUGAGUAUAUUCUAGUCUUUGGGGAAGAGGAAAUUACGCAAGUUUUCUGUGGUUUCUUUUCUUUUUUCUUUUUGGUCUUUUUAGGGCCGCAUCCAUGGCAUAGGGGGGUUCCCAGGCUAAGGGUUGAAACAAAGCUGUAGCUGCCAGCCUACGCGACAGCCACAGCAACAUGGAAUCCGAGCCGCGUUUGCUACCUACAUCACAGCUUAUGGAAACGCUGAAUUCUUAACCCACU